AAAUCAGUUGAUCUUGACUUACAACAGCCAAAGUGCUUUGAUGUGAACUUCUUUGUUGAGCCUUGUCCUGAAGAUGCUCUCAAUGUACUGUCCAAUGAACUCACAUUCACCUUUGAGGGUUUGCCUUCUGAAAUAUUAAAUCUCAGCCCAAGUCUCGCCCUGAAGGCUCAGACAACUACUUUUCAUCCUUUAGGGUUCGAAAUCAACUGCGGCACUGACAAUAAUUGUGUGGAUAAUCUGAAAGUGGAUUUUAACUUCACUCGGUGAG